rnacentral:tRNA from 1 species
AGCUUCUUAGCGCAGUAGGUAGCGCGUUGGGCUCAUACGAGACUCUCUUGCCUUUCCACUCUUCUGAGUGGUGCAACCCAAAGGUCGUCGGAUCGAAACCGACAGAAGCUA